CACGUAGGGGGCGAGCGUUGUCCGGAUUCAUUGGGCGUAAAGAGCUCGUAGGCGGCUCAGUAAGUCAGGUGUGAAACCUCCAGGCUCAACCUGGAGACGCCACCUGAUACUGCUGUGGCUAGAGUCCGGUAGGGGAGCGUGGAAUUCCUGGUGUAGCGGUGAAAUGCGCAGAUAUCAGGAGGAACACCAGCGGCGAAGGCGGCGCUCUGGGCCGGAACUGACGCUGAGGAGCGAAAGCGUGGGUAGCAAACAGG
rnacentral:rRNA from 1 species